UUUGCUCAUAUUUGUAUGGAAUGGGAUCGUUUUGCCUACGUUUGCCGCUAGGGGCACUGUUCCAACUGCAUACAAAGUUGGGUUA
rnacentral:pre_miRNA from 1 species